AAAGAUUUAGUUUACGCAAAAACAUUAAUUUGUCAAAUUAAAAUGACUUAAAAAGUAUUCUUUU
rnacentral:tRNA from 1 species